CUUCCGCUUGAAAAUAGACUUGAACUUCGUGAAAGAGGAAUUUUUAGGAGCACGGAGGAUCGGUGAGAUCUGGUGGCGGGGUUAGGUGGGUUAUUAUGGGUUUGCAGAUGUGGAAUGUUGAGUUGAGAUUGAUCGACUACUUGGCAGAGGAUCACCGGUGUUCCCGAUUGAAUUAUCGUAUUAUUAGAAUGUACAUCUAUAUCUCGUAUAUCGUAUUAUUAGAAUGUAUAUCUAUCUAUAUCUUUUACAUUGUAUUAUUAGAAUGUACAUGUAUGUCUCUUGCAAUCGUAUUUUUAGAAGGUUCUUUUGAUAAGUAAGUUUUUAAUAACGUUAAGAAUUUGUAAUAAAUUCCCAGUUACUUUUACAUUUCUAGUCUAUCAGCGAUGGUAUGCUUUGUAUAAAAAUCGAAUAUCAUAUAAAAGUCGGCAUACUUGGGCUACAUACUUUUAAUUAUUUAAGACGUAGAAGAUUCACAAUUAGGAUCAUCGAGGGCCACUCAAACGGUCAAAUUAAACAGCACACGCGUCAUCACGGGCUCUAUAUGUUCCUAGGUGCACGUUGCCCUCGCCGCGUCUAAAUCGAGAUGCACUUCAAUCGAGCAGCCACGGCAACUAUACUUAAACUUAACGAACACAACGCAGCUCCAUAGCCAAUGCUGCUUAUUUACGGACUAAUUAAUUUCAACUUAAUUACGAAGAUUUUUGUCAAAGGUUCGAUCCAUUCGCGUAGCUUUCGUUUCGAUUUUCUCGAUCACUUUGAUCGUAGUUACUGCGGAAGAUCAUUCGUUGGAGAACUUUAUAUCUGACAGAAGAUAGCAAAACUCGAUAACUGUUUUAUAUCGUAUCUGAACUUUAAUCUUUGACAUGAUAAGCUCUUGAUUUCCGAGAUAAUGAACCGUCGAUUUCAUUUUUUAAAUAAAUGGCCUUCAUUUAUGAAAACAAAUUUAAACAGCAGAGUUGUCCGAUCUGCCAGACGAUGAUCCUAGUCUUCAGUUUCUAUUUUCUAAAUUGCUAAUUUUCGUAACAAACGAGCUCCUGAUUUCGAUUUUCGUAGCCUUCGAAUUCCAAAGUAUCGAUUUCCGAAAUGAUACAGCUCCAAUUUUCAUGGCUUUGGUUGUCAAAAAAUUAAAAACGUAGCGUUAUAAACAGCUCCAAAAAUUACUCUGAUAACGAAGGAUGACAAAAAGGAAGAUACAUACGCACGUAUCUAAAAUACAUUUAGAAAGCGACGUCCAAAUGAAGUUGGUCGAAACACGGUGUAUCACGGAGAAUUAGAAAGUCGUGACGUAUCUUGGUUUCUC
rnacentral:misc_RNA from 1 species